UUAAUGUUCACAUUGUUAUUCUGAAUUGGGAUUGCAUUGAAGGAGUUUCCUUAGGCAGCCUGCAAAGCAGUUGAGCAAGCAGAGUCAAAACAUCAAGAAACUGGUUAUUUAUAUUGACAGCAAGUGCACUAUUAUUGGUGUGACAAGUUGGGUUGACAACUGGAAAAGUAAUGCCUGAAAACAAGUACAGGAAGAAGUGUAAUAAACAAAGGGGACUUUGAAACACUUGAUAAGCUUACA